AGCGAACGCUGGCGGCAGGCUUAACACAUGCAAGUCGAGCGGGCAUAGCAAUAUGUCAGCGGCAGACGGGUGAGUAACACGUGGGAACGUACCUUUGGUUCGGAACAACUGAGGGAAACUUCAGCUAAUACCGAAUAAGCCCUUACGGGGAAAGAUUUAUCGCCGAAAGAUCGGCCCGCGUCUGAUUAGCUAGUUGGUAGGGUAAUGGGCCUACCAAGGCGACGAUCAGUAGCCUGGUCUGAGAGGAUGAUCAGCCACACUGGGACUGAGACACGGCCCAGACUCCUACGGGUGGCUG
rnacentral:rRNA from 1 species